GAUGAACGCUGGCGGCGUGCCUAAUACAUGCAAGUCGAGCGAACGGACGAGAAGCUUGCUUCUCUUAUGUUAGCGGCGGACGGGUGAGUAACACGUGGGUAACCUACCUAUAAGACUGGGAUAACUUCGGGAAACCGGAGCUAAUACCGGAUAAUAUUUUUAACCGCAUGGUUCAAAAGUGAAAGACGGUCUUGCUGUCACUUAUAGAUGGAUCCGCGCUGGAUUAGCUAGUUGGUAAGGUAACGGCUUACCAAGGCAACGAUGCAUAGCCGACCUGAGGGGGUGGUCGGCCACACGGGAACUGAGACCCGGUCAAGACUCCUACGGGAGGCAGCAGUAGGGAAUCUUCCGCAAUGGGGGAAAGCCUGACGGAGCAACGCCGCGUGAGUGAUGAAGGUCUUCGGAUCGUAAAACUCUGUUAUUAGGGAAGAACAUAUGUGUAAGUAACUGUGCACAUCUUGACGGUACCUAAUCAGAAAGCCACGGCUAACUACGUG
rnacentral:rRNA from 1 species